GGGUGACGAGCGGCGGACGGGUGAGUAAUGUCUGGGAAACUGCCUGAUGGAGGGGGAUAACUACUGGAAACGGUAGCUAAUACCGCAUAACGUCGCAAGACCAAAGAGGGGGACCUUCGGGCCUCUUGCCAUCAGAUGAACCCAGAUGGGAUUAGCUAGUAGGUGGGGUAAUGGCUCACCUAGGCGACGAUCCCUAGCUGGUCUGAGAGGAUGACCAGCCACACUGGAACUGAGACACGGUCCAGACUCCUACGGGAGGCAGCAGUGGGGAAUAUUGCACAAUGGGCGCAAGCCUGAUGCAGCCAUGCCGCGUGUAUGAAGAAGGCCUUCGGGUUGUAAAGUACUUUCAGCGAGGAGGAAGGCAUUAAGGUUAAUAACCUUAGUGAUUGACGUUACUCGCAGAAGAAGCACCGGCUAACUCCGUGCCAGCAGCCGCGGUAAUACGGAGGGUGCAAGCGUUAAUCGGAAUUACUGGGCGUAAAGCGCACGCAGGCGGUUUGUUAAGUCGGAUGUGAAAUCCCCGGGCUCAACCUGGGAACUGCAUUCGAAACUGGCAAGCUUGAGUCUUGUAGAGGGGGGUAGAAUUCCAGGUGUAGCGGUGAAAUGCGUAGAGAUCUGGAGGAAUACCGGUGGCGAAGGCGGCCCCCUGGACAAAGACUGACGCUCAGGUGCGAAAGCGUGGGGAGCAAACAG
rnacentral:rRNA from 1 species